CAGCGUCACGAGUGGCAACCAUAUUUAUUGGGCCUAAAGCGUCCGUAGCCUGUUUGAUAAGUCUUUUGUGAAAUCGUUGCGCUCAACGUAGCGUUGUGCAAGAGAUACUGUCAGACUUGGAAUUGGGAAGAGUUAGAGGUAUUCUGGGGGGAGCGGUAAAAUGCUAUAAUCCCUGGAGGACCACCAGUGGCGAAAGCGUCUAACUAGAACAACUUCGACGGUGAGGGACGAAAGCCAGGGGAGCAAAACGGAUUAGAUACCCGAGUAGUCC
rnacentral:rRNA from 1 species